CAUUUCGUUGACGGGGCAGGAAGCCAACCUCUUUUCCUUGAGUAAAAGGAAGCUUUAUAAGCGUAAUAGCAAAGCAAAAACAAUUAGAUAGAGUUCAUGUUAAAGCUACAGCUUGUUCCCUCUCCCUGGUUUAAAUAAAUCAACGAGCAGAAAAGCAUGCUGGGAACAAAAGGAGGAAGUGAAGUGGUUAGAAAAGAAUUUGCUGUGAAGGGCUGGUGUAGUUUUGGUUUUGGUUUGGUGAGGCAAAAAGGGUAAAGUUUCUGAAGAAGCUGAUGAAAAAUAUAAUAUUUGUAAUUUACCAUUUAUAAUCUAGUUUCUUUUUUUCCCCCUCUACAUAAAGCUGCACUUUCAAUAUUAGGGAUUUUCUCUCUAUAGCUGUAUUGUGAGUUAAAGUGAGCGGAGAUUUGCAGCUGUACUAGUAACAAAAUGCUUUGCGUACAGUAUUUUUCACCUACUGGUAUAGUACUUAAUGGUAGUCUGGAUUCUGAGUUCUUCUCUUUUUUUCCCUAGAAGCUGCCUUGUCUUUCUAAAGUGCUUUCUGCUGUGCUAUAGUCACCUAUGUGCAAUUCUUUGCAAAAAUUCACAGUGAAUCAUGCUUCAAACUCUACUUUUCUUCCUGCUCCAACAGAGAUUUGCUUUCUGCAUACACUGGGCUUCUGUUGCUGUUUCCUUUUUUCUCUCCUGUGCUCCGCCAACGUUGCUGAAAUGUUGCACCAGGCUUUGAGGGCUAGAAAGACGUAUCUUAACUUGCAUACAGAUGCAUGGUGGAAGCACAGCAAGGAGAUUUGAGGACACAACAAAACCAGGUUAACGAUAUAAUGGGGACAGCUGAAACAUAAAGUGGGCAAACACAGUGGAUACUGAUGAGCUCAGAUCCAGCUGGCAGCAAUAGCUGAAGGUUUCCUGGUGUUAACUCCUGAUGAAAAUGAGAAUCGCCUUCUACAGUUGAGGUUUUGAUGAUAUUUUGAAGCUCGACACAGGAGAGGUGCUCCAGCCCCUCUUUGUGGCACUCCUCUGGACUCACUCCAACAGCUCUGGAUUGAAUCCAACUCCUGGCUCUGCAAAGGACCACCCGAAAUUCAAAAUCUUUAUCUGAGAGCACUGUCCAAACACUCCUUGAACUCCAGCAGCUCGGUGCAUUGACCACUGCCAUCUGGUACAUUUUUUGGCCUUCUGGUUGUGAUAUCCCAUUGUUUAUGUGAUCAGAUAGCAACACUGCACAACAUCCUUCUCAGCCAUUUAUAUCAAAAUUGUCUCUCAUCACGGUUAGAAGAACUACAUAAAAGUCUGAAGUAUUUGCCUGGACUUGUGCUGUGCUUCUUGGACACUCACCUGAAGCUGCUGUGUAGGGGAAAGAAUAGACAUCUGCACAGAGGUCAACUGCAUCUGGUUUGCCUUGUGGAUGGACCCACAGCUCUCUAGUUGUAUAAGGAGAUGAGAUCAUGUAUUCCAAUUUUCCUACUAUGCAUCAGCAGGAAUGCAUUAAGGGAGCAAAGCAAGGUUAAAUCAGCUUGAUUUCAUCAGAUGUUUAAAGGAGGACUUAUACCUGGAUCUUGCAGAAAGCAUGUGAUGCUUUACAAACAGGAAAUGUUCUUCUCUGGGCCAGGAUGCAGCUGAAGCAGUGCAUUGUUACCUCAGAUAUGCUUAAUUCACAUCCAUACAACGCAGAUGUUCAGCACUAAGCCUGUCCAGUCACAAGGCAGCCUGGUUCCAACAGCACCAUACCUACUGCAGCAUGUGCUGAGCUCUACUUCACCCACCCAAUCAAUGCUGAGAAACAGGAAAGAAAUGUCAGAACUAAAGAAAAAUGACAAGUUGUAAAAAUGACAAGCGAUGGAUCCAGUUCUGUGGCUCCUCCGAUCUGAGUUUGGUGGCCCCUUCUGUGCAGUUUUCCAUUUGGGAAGAGCUGAAUUCCGCCUCAUUUCUGGCAGAAUUUAAUAUAAUGAACUUAACGUGGAUCUGAAGCAUCAGAAGGAUUGCAUCUUGUUAAAUAGGCUGCUCCCACUGUUCUUGUGGGUCAGGUUCCACAAGCCAUCACAUACCGGUUUAAUGAGAUUACUUAAAGAGGUACAAACGGAUAAACACUCUUGGUUAGAGUUUGUUUUUAUUUUAAUUGAAUUAAAGAAUAAUCCACUGAACAAGAACAGAAGCUCAGAAAUUGUUUGGUUUACUUUAGCUAGGGAUUAUUCUUAUUAGGAAUUCUAAAAUAAGGGAAAAUUAAUUCAAUAUAUCUGUUUUAUAGUCUCACCCCCUUUCUGCAGGCACCGAAGCCCAAAUUCGAUUUCUAACUCCCAGCUCUGGCUGAAUAUAGACAGUGUAAAUGUUCUUUUUUUUUUUUGUAUGUGUGUGUGUACCUGUGCAUUUGGAUUAAAACUAGAAACUGGGAGCUGUUAAAGCAUCUUGAACCACUCUGCUAGCAAGCCUUCACAGGCCAGGAACAAGGCAAAGGUUUACUUAAAAAUGUUCAUGAGAAGGGCUUCAUAUGCAAACUGAUUCUUCAUGCUCAGGAGAUCAGCUUCAGCCUUGGGGUUGGAUUGGGUCUUUUGGGUCUUGCAGGACUAAUUUGGAGCAUGAAAUAUUUGGCUAAACUUGAUGAUGAUUAGUGUAAAUAUUUUGCUAAAAAUGAUGCAACUUCAUCACAAAGCUAAUAGCUGAAAUACAGAUUGGCUUUGUUAUUUUAUUAUUUUAAUCAAAUGAUGCAAUUAAAUAAUCACUGAUGUAAUGCCAUAGGUUUCAGUGGAAUUAUUCCAAGCUAGAUCCAAUCUUGUAAUUUUUGAAAGAAAAUAAAUCUCUCAUUAUCUUCUCACAGAAAAGCAAUCUCUGAGUACAUAAUACUCCUUUUAGGUGAAAGGUAGAAUACAGACUAAAAUCUAUUAAACGAAUUUGGCAAAAGUGCCAUCUGGUCUACAGCAAUUUACAUUUGCAUGAGAAAAAAGCACAAAAUGUACCUAAACUGAACAGCAUUGGAUACCUGCUCUGAUCAAAGGUGAAGGCUUGAGGAAGGGUUAGAUUUCUCUCAGUAAUUGAAUCACAGAGAAAGGAAAGCCAUUAAAUUUGCAAAGGAGGCCAUUGAGGUUUGUUGCAUUUCCCUGACUCUUUCCAAGCCCAUUGAAUAAUCUCAGCAAUCUAAGUAUCUCUAAAGAUUUUGUCAAAGAGCAAAUGAAGGCCUUAUUGUGAAUUUUGCCUACAAGGGCAGCUUGUCUCUUUAGCUUUGUUCCUCUGGUUGUGAUUGAAAGCUGUGCAAAUAUCUACUGUCUGGUUCUUACAUGGAGAAAUUGAGGUUUUGCUCUUAGAAUCUGCAAAGGUUAUUGUGACAUUCAGUUUUUAUUGUUUUGGAAAAGACAGUGAGCUUGAAGAACUCCUUAAUUUUAUGGAAGGACUUCAUAGGGUAAUGAGAAGCAGUGGAGGUAUUUCACUGACUUUAGGAGGAGUGAAACCUGAUGACAUUUGUCUAGAAGUUGCCAUGUGCUAUAGAAGUGCCAUAGUGUUUCCAAUCAUGCACCGAAAUCUGGCAUUCUUACUUGCAUCUGAUAUAAGGGGUGCCUUUACAAUUCAAGUGUGGAGAUGUGCUUACUGGGUCCAGAAGCACAGGGGCUGUAUUUGUACUGUGCUUGAUAUGACUUAAAGGGUUCUGUUAUGGAAUCACACAACUGAGUUGCUACAGUCAUGCUGUUCUGGAUCCUAAGUCUAGAGUGGGCUGUGCUUUGCAGACUUGUUACCUUGACUUGUAAGUACCUUAUGGAUUUCAGCAUUGUUUUCCAUUUUAUAGAAUAAAUACCUGCCCAGUAGUUAGUCAUUUGUGGCAUGUGGCUGGUCACUCAUUUCAGCACAUGAUGUUUGAGCCUUAACGAGCAGAUGAUAGAACUGUGCUCACACAUAACAGAGCACCUGGCACCCGUCUGUACCCAAUAGCCAUAAGUCCUCAGGUAGCUCACAUUCUUCAAUAACUGCCCCAAAUCAAACCAGAAGCAUGAGAAGUCAGAGGAAAACAUAACUGUGGGAGAAAGAGAC